UACGUAGGUGGCAAGCGUUACUCGGAAUCACUAGGCGUAAAGCGCAGGUAGGAGGUUUAGUAAGUCUGUUGUGAAAGCUCCCGGCUUAACUGGGAGAGGUCAACGGAAACUGCUAGGCUGGAGUGCGGUAGAGGUAGCUGGAAUUCCCGGUGUAACGGUGAAAUGCGUAGAUAUCGGGAGGAAUACCUAUGGCGAAAGCAGGCUACUGGACCGUCACUGACUCUGAUCUGCGAAAGCUAGGGGAGCAAACAGG
rnacentral:rRNA from 1 species